AGGGAGAGAAGGGCUACCGAGGCUGGAGGGGCCUCAAGGGAGAAAUGGGACCACCGUGCACGAUGAAGGGGUUGAAGGGAUCAAGUGGGCCUAAUGGAAAGCUGGGACCGCCUGGUUUGCCUGGACUUCCUGGACAAGGUGUGCCGCAAUUACGCAUCCCAGUGUUGCCAUAGAGGAGACCUGGCGACCUUUUCUUGCGUUGCAGUGUACCUUCUAGCAGGUCUGCGGGGGGAACCAGGAAGUUGAGGUCCCUCAGCCGCAUGUAGCUGUUCGAGGGACCGAACCCCUGAACAAAUGCCAGAUCGAGUCCAGACGGUCAGUUCGCUCCUUUUUACCAGUUGGAAAAUCCCUCUAAGCGCUUAGGCAGGCUACACAUGUACCGAUUUUUAACCAGACCUUCUAUAUAUAACAAGGUCAAUUAUAGCGUUGCGUACUGACCAACACAGCACACCACACACGAUGUCUGUCAUAGUAGUGUUAGGGACCAAGCACUGCCAAGAAUAGCAAAAACAUUUGUGAUCGUUGGCCCCAGGGCCCAUUUUCUGAACUUGUCAGCGAGGAGAAAAAAAAAAAAUAAUAAUCACUUUCAGGGUGAAGAAAAGCGCUAUAUCAAUUGGAUUUAUUAUGGUCUGAGAAUCAAGCCUUUGCAAAAUGCUCCAAUCAACCCUGAUAGUUAGUAUGCGUAGCCUGCUUAAACUAGAUCUAGUUCUACGUCGUUUUCUGAUCCAUCUCGCAUUGUCUUGGCAGAUUUUUAUAGCAGCUGGAGAGAGAACGUGAUGGUUCUCCGGACUGACAAGCGGGCUCUCUACAUCUACAGUGAGGCCCAGUGGAUGGAUGUACUGGUAAUUGCGAUUAAUGACCUAAUGGCACGAAUAGCCAUAUCAUUGCUGUCCAAUGAAAAGCAUGUAGCACCACAUUUUGGGUUCUUUUUGUAAAGACAUUUGGAAAUACAUACUUUUAUACUUGCAGCCACUAAAUGAAGAAUGUGCAUUUUUAUAGUUUUGUAAAUUAUGCUGCGGUCAACUGAAAUGCACGAUCUAUGAAUUUUGUCAAUUUUUUUAAUUUAAGUGGCUGAUGCAACUGGAGACGAACUGCAGCAUGGUGUCUUGAAACAUUGAGGCCAUUAUUUGAGGAAAUUCAGAAUGCAGGAUUUUAGCACAUUGUUGCUUUCCAGUGAAAAGCACAUAUCUCCUAUUUUGUUGCUUUUCAGACAAAAUGUUUUAACUUCCUAAUGUAGUGUACAUGCUGUUCAUUGGAAUUGUAGUUAAAAAAAAAAAAAAGUGAUGACGAAAUAAAUUGACAUGGCACCUCAUGUGAUUGGUUUAUUGUAGUGAGGAGGUUGUAUUAUUUUUUUUGGCAGUUAUGUCAUAUGGAUUAUGCUAAGAACUGGGUCUCGAUAUAUUGACGUUUAUGUUAAGCGGCCCAAAUCUGACAGCACAGUGUAUUCUGGUCAGCUUCUUUGGAGUGUCACUCGCUGCAAUGUUGACAGUGUAUCGCGUAUCGUAUAGCGAGUGAACAUUUGGUCAUAUAUGAUAGUGUGGAGAAAGUAUGAAAUUACAAGUCAUUUGAACAGACAGUUUAAGCAAGCUGAAUAACAAUUUUGACACCUCUUUUAAAACUUCAAAUAAUUAUAUGGUAACAUCUUUCCAGUAUUAAAUAAUCUUAUAUAAAAACACACAAGGUUUGAA